rnacentral:rRNA from 1 species
GACGAACGCUGGCGGCGUGCUUAACACAUGCGAGUCGAACGGUGAAGGGGUCUGCUUUUGUGGGCCCUGGAUGAGUGGCGAACGGGUGAGUAACACGUGAGUAACCUGCCCCCUUCUUCUGGAUAACCGCAUGAAAGUGUGGCUAAUACGGGAUAUUCUGGGUCUGUCGCAUGAUGGGUCUGGGAAAGAUUGCGCCUUUGGGUGUUUUUGGUGGGGGAUGGGCUCGCGGCCUAUCAGCUUGUUGGUGGGGUGAUGGCCUACCAAGGCGGUGACGGGUAGCCGGCCUGAGGGGGUGGACGGUCACACUGGGACUGAGACACGGCCCAGACUCCUACGGGAGGCAGCAGUGGGGAAUAGUGCACAAUGGGCGCAAGCCUGAUGCAGCGACGCCGCGUGAGGGAUGGAGGCCUUCGGGGUGUAAACCUCUUUCGCCAGUGAAGCAGGCCUGCUCCUUGUGGGUGGGUUGACGGUAGCUGGAUAAGAAGCGCCGGCUAACUACGUG